CGAACGCUGGCGGCAUGCCUAACACAUGCAAGUCGACCGAGACCUUCGGGUCUAGUGGCGCACGGGUGCGUAACGCGUGGGAACCUGCCCUUAGGUUCGGAAUAACUCCCCGAAAGGGGUGCUAAUACCGGAUAAUGUCUUCGGACCAAAGAUUUAUCGCCUUUGGAUGGGCCCGCGUUGGAUUAGCUAGUUGGUAGGGUAAAAGCCUACCAAGGCGACGAUCCAUAGCUGGUCUGAGAGGAUGAUCAGCCACACUGGGACUGAGACACGGCCCAGACUCCUACGGGAGGCAGCAGUGGGGAAUAUUGGACAAUGGGCGAAAGCCUGAUCCAGCAAUGCCGCGUGAGUGAUGAAGGCCUUAGGGUUGUAAAGCUCUUUUACCCGGGAUGAUAAUGACAGUACCGGGAGAAUAAGCGCCGGCUAACUCCGUG
rnacentral:rRNA from 1 species